rnacentral:rRNA from 1 species
GACGAACGCUGGCGGCGUGCUUAACACAUGCAAGUCGAACGAGAGCGUAGAGAAAGCUUGCUUUUUCUACAAUCUAGUGGCAAACGGGUGAGUAACGCGUAAACAACCUGCCCUACGGAUGGGGACAACAGCUGGAAACGGCUGCUAAUACCGAAUACGUUCCGAAAGUCGCAUGACUAUCGGAAGAAAGGAUGGCCUCUAUUUAUAAGCUAUCGCCGGAGGAGGGGUUUGCGUCUGAUUAGCUAGUUGGAGGGGUAACGGCCCACCAAGGCGACGAUCAGUAGCCGGUCUGAGAGGAUGAACGGCCACAUUGGAACUGAGACACGGUCCAGUCUCCUACGGGAGGCAGCAGUGGGGAAUCUUCCGCAAUGGGCGAAAGCCUGACGGAGCAACGCCGCGUGAGUGAAGACGGCCUUCGGGUUGUAAAGCUCUGUUAUACGGGACGAAUAAUCUUGUGGUUAAUACCCAUGAGAAGUGACGGUACCGUAAGAGAAAGCCACGGCUAACUACGUG